GACCGAUAGCGCAUAGUACCGUGAGGGAAAGGUGAAAAGAACCCCGGGAGGGGAGUGAAAUAGUACCUGAAACCGUAUGUCUACAAGCAGUCGAAGCGAAAGCGACGGCGUGCCUAUUGAAGAAUGAACCAACGAGUUAUCUGCACUAGCGAGGUUAAGUGGAAGACACGGAGCCGCAGCGAAAGCGAGUCUUAAGAGGGCGCUAGUUAGUGUAGGUAGACCCGAAACCGCAGUGAUCUACCCAUGUCCAGGUUGAAGCGCAGGUAAAAUUGCGUGGAGGACCGAACCGGUGAGCGUUGAAAAGCUUUCGGAUGAGAUGUGGGUAGGGGUGAAAUUCCAAUCGAACGCGGAGAUAGCUGGUUCUCCCCGAAAUAGCUUUAGGGCUAGCCUGAGGUAGUAAGUAUAGGCGGUAGAGCACUGAUCGGGCUAGGGGCCGUAAAGGUUACCGAACCCUGUCAAACUCCGAAUGGAUAUACUGUAGAGCCUUGGAGUCAGACUACGAGUGAUAAGAUCCGUGGUCAAAAGGGAAACAGCCCAGACCACCAGCUAAGGUCCCCAAUGUCGUACUAAGUGGAAAAGGAUGUGGGGUUUCAUAAACAACCAGGAUGUUGGCUCAGAAGCAGCCACCAUUUAAAGAGUGCGUAAUAGCUCACUGGUCGAGAGACCCUGCGCCGAAGAUUCCCGGGGCUAAAGUACGAAACCGAAGCUGUGGCUGUAUACGUAAAGUAUACGGGGUAGGGGAGCGUUCCCAUAGGGUAGAAGUCGAACUGGAAGGUUCGGUGGACUUGUGGGAAGUGAGAAUGUUGGUAUGAGUAGCGAAAAGAAAGGUGAGAAUCCUUUCCACCGAAAGCAUAAGGAUUCCUGAGCAACGAUCGUCGUCUCAGGGUAAGUCGGGACCUAAUCCGAGGCAGAGAGCGUAGGAGAUGGACAACUGGUUGAUAUUCCAGUACCGGUAGUAAUUGUUUGAGCAAUGGAGUGACACAGAAGGGCAGGCAAGCAUGCGAAUGGAAGAGCAUGUGUAAGCGUGUAGGGUGGUGCAUAGGCAAAUCCGUGCACUGAAAGCCUGAGGCGUGAUGCGGAGUGAGCAGAGAUGCGAGCGAAGUUGUUGACCCCACACUGUCGAGAAAAGCUUCUAGUGAGAGAGCUACCGCCCGUACCGUAAACCGACACAGGUAUGCGGGGAGAGAAUCCUAAGGUGCGCGGGAGAACCCUCGUUAAGGAACUCGGCAAAAUGUACCCGUAACUUCGGGAUAAGGGUAGCCACUGUUGUGAAGUCCCACGCGGAUGGAGCAUAGAGUGGUCGCAGAGAAGAGGCCCAAGCGACUGUUUACCAUAAACACAGGUGCCUGCUAAAGCGAAAGCUGACGUAUAGGUGCUGACACCUGCCCAGUGCCGGAAGGUUAAGGAAGGAUGUUCGGAUUAGUCCAAAGCAUUCGACUGAAGCCCCGGUGAACGGCGGCCGUAACUAUAACGGUCCUAAGGUAGCGAAAUUCCUUGUCGGGUAAGUUCCGACCCGCACGAAAGGUGUAACGAUUUGGGCACUGUCUCAACGAGGGACCCGGUGAAAUUGAAAUACCUGUGAAGAUGCAGGUUACCCGCGACUGGACAGAAAGACCCCAUGGAGCUUUACUGUAACCUGACAUUGGGUUUUGAUACAUUACGUACAGGAUAGGUGGGAGGCUUGGAAAGUUGGACGCUAGUCUGACUGGAGCCGACGUUGGGAUACCACCCUUGAUGUAUUGAAAUUCUAACCGCGAGAGUAACGAAAUCCGGGACAGUGUCAGGCGGGCAGUUUGACUGGGGCGGUCGCCUCCGAAAGAGUAACGGAGGCGCCCAAAGGUUCCCUCAGCGCGGCCGGAAAUCGCGCGAAGAGUGUAAAGGCAGAAGGGAGCUUGACUGCGAGUCAAACACGACGAGCAGGUACGAAAGUAGGGCUUAGUGAUCCGGUGGUACCGAGUGGAAGGGCCAUCGCUCAACGGAUAAAAGCUACCCUGGGGAUAACAGGCUAAUCUCUCCCAAGAGUCCAUAUCGACGGGGAGGUUUGGCACCUCGAUGUCGGCUCAUCACAUCCUGGGGCUGAAGUCGGUCCCAAGGGUUGGGCUGUUCGCCCAUUAAAGUGGUACGUGAGCUGGGUUCAGAACGUCGUGAGACAGUUCGGUCCCUAUCCAUCGCGGGCGCAAGAGAUUUGAAGGGGGCUGCUCCUAGUACGAGAGGACCGGAGUGGACGAACCGCUGGUGUACCAAUUAUCC
rnacentral:rRNA from 1 species